AGUCGCGGGAGGAUGGGCCGCCGCUAGGCUCGCACUCCGGACGCGCCUCGCAGUGCGCAGGGUGGGUGCCCCGCGCCUGCAGCGUCCGCCGGGGCGGCGCGGCGGGAGGUGGCCGACAGGCUCCGGGCCUCGCAGCCUCAGCCCCCGGCCCAGCGCGCUUUCCGACGGCGGCGCCGCGCCGAGCCACCCGCCCGCCCAAGGUCUCUCGCGGGCGGGAGAACGGAAAACUCCCAACUUCCUGAGUUCUAAAGUUCCUGUUGCUUCAGACAAUGGAUGAGCAAUCACAAGGAAUGCAAGGGCCACCUGUUCCUCAGUUCCAACCACAGAAGGCCUUACGACCGGAUAUGGGCUAUAAUACAUUAGCCAACUUUCGAAUAGAAAAGAAAAUUGGUCGCGGACAAUUUAGUGAAGUUUAUAGAGCAGCCUGUCUCUUGGAUGGAGUACCAGUAGCUUUAAAAAAAGUGCAGAUAUUUGAUUUAAUGGAUGCCAAAGCACGUGCUGAUUGCAUCAAAGAAAUAGAUCUUCUUAAGCAACUCAACCAUCCAAAUGUAAUAAAAUAUUAUGCAUCAUUCAUUGAAGAUAAUGAACUAAACAUAGUUUUGGAACUAGCAGAUGCUGGCGACCUAUCCAGAAUGAUCAAG
rnacentral:lncRNA from 1 species